AACGGUAACAGGAAGCAGCUUGCUGCUUUGCUGACGAGUGGCGGACGGGUGAGUAAUGUCUGGGAAACUGCCUGAUGGAGGGGGAUAACUACUGGAAACGGUAGCUAAUACCGCAUAACGUCGCAAGACCAAAGAGGGGGACCUUAGGGCCUCUUGCCAUCGGAUGUGCCCAGAUGGGAUUAGCUAGUAGGUGGGGUAACGGCUCACCUAGGCGACGAUCCCUAGCUGGUCUGAGAGGAUGACCAGCCACACUGGAACUGAGACACGGUCCAGACUCCUACGGGAGGCAGCAGUGGGGAAUAUUGCACAAUGGGCGCAAGCCUGAUGCAGCCAUGCCGCGUGUAUGAAGAAGGCCUUCGGGUUGUAAAGUACUUUCAGCGGGGAGGAAGGGAGUAAAGUUAAUACCUUUGCUCAUUGACGUUACCCGCAGAAGAAGCACCGGCUAACUCCGUGCCAGCAGCCGCGGUAAUACGGAGGGUGCAAGCGUUAAUCGGAAUUACUGGGCGUAAAGCGCACGCAGGCGGUUUGUUAAGUCAGAUGUGAAAUCCCCGGGCUCAACCUGGGAACUGCAUCUGAUACUGGCAAGCUUGAGUCUCGUAGAGGGGGGUAGAAUUCCAGGUGUAGCGGUGAAAUGCGUAGAGAUCUGGAGGAAUACCGGUGGCGAAGGCGGCCCCCUGGACGAAGACUGACGCUCAGGUGCGAAAGCGUGGGGAGCAAACAGGAUUAGAUACCCUGGUAGUCCACGCCGUAAACGAUGUCGACUUGGAGGUUGUGCCCUUGAGGCGUGGCUUCCGGAGCUAACGCGUUAAGUCGACCGCCUGGGGAGUACGGCCGCAAGGUUAAAACUCAAAUGAAUUGACGGGGGCCCGCACAAGCGGUGGAGCAUGUGGUUUAAUUCGAUGCAACGCGAAGAACCUUACCUGGUCUUGACAUCCACGGAAGUUUUCAGAGAUGAGAAUGUGCCUUCGGGAACCGUGAGACAGGUGCUGCAUGGCUGUCGUCAGCUCGUGUUGUGAAAUGUUGGGUUAAGUCCCGCAACGAGCGCAACCCUUAUCCUUUGUUGCCAGCGGUCCGGCCGGGAACUCAAAGGAGACUGCCAGUGAUAAACUGGAGGAAGGUGGGGAUGACGUCAAGUCAUCAUGGCCCUUACGACCAGGGCUACACACGUGCUACAAUGGCGCAUACAAAGAGAAGCGACCUCGCGAGAGCAAGCGGACCUCAUAAAGUGCGUCGUAGUCCGGAUUGGAGUCUGCAACUCGACUCCAUGAAGUCGGAAUCGCUAGUAAUCGUGGAUCAGAAUGCCACGGUGAAUACGUUCCCGGGCCUUGUACACACCGCCCGUCACACCAUGGGAGUGGGUUGCAAAAGAAGUAGGUAGCUUAACCUUCGGGAGGGCGCUUACCACUUUGUGAUUCAUGACUGGGGUGAAGUCGUAACAAGGUAACCGUAGGGGAACCUGCGGUUGGAUCACCUCCUUACCUUAAAGAAGC
rnacentral:rRNA from 1 species